GCAUUCUAGGCCAAGGGGUCACAGUCCACCCUGAACUGUGCCUCCCAGCCUGAAGCCAGAAAGCUCAGGGAGGCUAGCGGCCCUGCCCAGGCCUCAGCACUGACCCUGCACCCCUAGGCCCAGCUGGAUGACCCCUAAGAGCUUCCUGGAAUUUGGAUGCAGGGUUAUUCUGUGUGUGCUGCCUCUCAGAGCAUGUCACUUUGACGUGGACAUCUCGGGUCUGGUUCUGGUGCUGUCCCUGUCUCGCCACGUGACCCUGGAUAAGUCAUCUCUCCAGGCCUUGAUUUCCCCAUCUGUAAACAGAGUCCAGGAACCCAAGGAACGAGUGGGCUCUAACUGCUGCAGCAUAUGGGAGAUGCCAGGAGGAGCUGGCUGUGGCAGGCCAUCCCAGUCCAUCAGACAACUUGUAGUGGAUGAAGAUGCAGUGUCCAUGGCCAGAAGAAACUCCCGUGGAUGCUCAGGCCAAGGCUGCCAGAAGCACGAGGAGGGGCAGCAUUGAGUGUCAUCGGGAAAAGGCAAAGUGAUGGUCCUGAAGCUGCCCCAUGUGGCCAGUCCCUUUUUGGGAAGCCUGAAUAAAUCCAUUUCCUGUGCACUGUGUGGGAAGCCAACCCCUCUUCAGAGCACCUCUGAACUCAACAGGAUCCUACACUUCUUAUAGGCCUGGCUUGAUGCUGACAUCCUUCAGCCCCAGGGAAGACCUAAAGAUCUCCAGGUCUUGAGGCACCUGGAACACCUCCACCUGAGACCACUUUAACAUGAUUUCUCUGCUUGAGGGAUUUUGGACCAUGCUGUGUGUAUUCAGCCCUAAAACAUGGGCGAGUGCCCGCUUGCAGUUCAAAUUCUCAGAGGAAGUUCCCUGUACUCCACCCAGUGCCAAGUUUAGUUUGUGCAAAUUUCCUUAAUGUCCCCUCCUGUACAACAGGCUUAUUUGGUGUUAACCCUCAUAUCGGGGGUCUAACUCUUUGCUUUUCCAGCUUUUGUGCUGGAAUAUCCCAUUAAACUGUCCAUGUUGGGUAUUUUUUCUUUGUUAGUAAACAUUUGUUGCAUAUUGUUGAUAGCAUUUUAGAUUUGAAGAAAUAACUGACAAAAUCA
rnacentral:lncRNA from 1 species